UACGUAGGUGGCAAGCGUUGUCCGGAUUUACUGGGCGUAAAGAGCGCGCAGGCGGUCGUUCAAGUCGCGUGUGAAAGCCCCCGGCUCAACUGGGGAGGGUCACGCGAUACUGAUCGACUCGAAGGCAGGAGAGGGUAGUGGAAUUCCCGGUGUAGUGGUGAAAUGCGUAGAUAUCGGGAGGAACACCAGUGGCGAAGGCGACUACCUGGCCUGUUCUUGACGCUGAGGCGCGAAGCUAGGGAGCAACGGG
rnacentral:rRNA from 1 species